GGUUAAGCGACUAAGCGUACACGGUGGAUGCCCUGGCAGUCAGAGGCGAUGAAGGACGUGCUAAUCUGCGAAAAGCGUCGGUAAGGUGAUAUGAACCGUUAUAGCCGGCGAUGUCCGAAUGGGGAAACCCAGUGCAAUUCGUUGCACUAUCGUUAACUGAAUACAUAGGUUAACGAGGCGAACCGGGGGAACUGAAACAUCUAAGUACCCCGAGGAAAAGAAAUCAACCGAGAUUCCCCCAGUAGCGGCGAGCGAACGGGGAGCAGCCCAGAGUCUGAAUCAGCUUGUGUGUUAGUGGAACGGUCUGGAAAGUCCGACGGUACAGGGUGAUAGUCCCGUACACCAAAAUGCACAGGUUGUGAACUCGAAGAGUAGGGCGGGACACGUGGUAUCCUGUCUGAAUAUGGGGGGACCAUCCUCCAAGGCUAAAUACUCCUGACUGACCGAUAGUGAACCAGUACCGUGAGGGAAAGGCGAAAAGAACCCCGGCGAGGGGAGUGAAAAAGAACCUGAAACCGUGUACGUACAAGCAGUGGGAGCACCUUCGGGUGUGACUGCGUACCUUUUGUAUAAUGGGUCAGCGACUUAUAUUCUGUAGCAAGGUUAACCGUAUAGGGGAGCCGCAGGGAAACCGAGUCUUAACUGGGCGUUAAGUUGCAGGGUAUAGACCCGAAACCCGGUGAUCUAGCCAUGGGCAGGUUGAAGGUUGGGUAACACUAACUGGAGGACCGAACCGACUAAUGUUGAAAAAUUAGCGGAUGACUUGUGGCUGGGGGUGAAAGGCCAAUCAAACCGGGAGAUAGCUGGUUCUCCCCGAAAGCUAUUUAGGUAGCGCCUCGUGAAUUCAUCUUCGGGGGUAGAGCACUGUUUCGGCUAGGGGGUCAUCCCGACUUACCAACCCGAUGCAAACUACGAAUACCGAAGAAUGUUAUCACGGGAGACACACGGCGGGUGCUAACGUCCGUCGUGAAGAGGGAAACAACCCAGACCGCCAGCUAAGGUCCCAAAGUCAUGGUUAAGUGGGAAACGAUGUGGGAAGGCACAGACAGCCAGGAUGUUGGCUUAGAAGCAGCCAUCAUUUAAAGAAAGCGUAAUAGCUCACUGGUCGAGUCGGCCUGCGCGGAAGAUGUAACGGGGCUAAACCAUGCACCGAAGCUGCGGCAGCGACACUAUGUGUUGUUGGGUAGGGGAGCGUUCUGUAAGCCUGCGAAGGUGUGCUGUGAGGCAUGCUGGAGGUAUCAGAAGUGCGAAUGCUGACAUAAGUAACGAUAAAGCGGGUGAAAAGCCCGCUCGCCGGAAGACCAAGGGUUCCUGUCCAACGUUAAUCGGGGCAGGGUGAGUCGACCCCUAAGGCGAGGCCGAAAGGCGUAGUCGAUGGGAAACAGGUUAAUAUUCCUGUACUUGGUGUUACUGCGAAGGGGGGACGGAGAAGGCUAUGUUAGCCGGGCGACGGUUGUCCCGGUUUAAGCAUGUAGGCUGGUUGUCCAGGCAAAUCCGGAUAAUCAAGGCUGAGGUGUGAUGACGAGGCACUACGGUGCUGAAGUAACAAAUGCCCUGCUUCCAGGAAAAGCCUCUAAGCAUCAGGUAACAUCAAAUCGUACCCCAAACCGACACAGGUGGUCAGGUAGAGAAUACCAAGGCGCUUGAGAGAACUCGGGUGAAGGAACUAGGCAAAAUGGUGCCGUAACUUCGGGAGAAGGCACGCUGGUGUGUAGGUGAAGUCCCUGCGGAUGGAGCUGAGACCAGUCGAAGAUACCAGCUGGCUGCAACUGUUUAUUAAAAACACAGCACUGUGCAAACACGAAAGUGGACGUAUACGGUGUGACGCCUGCCCGGUGCCGGAAGGUUAAUUGAUGGGGUUAUCCGUAAGGAGAAGCUCUUGAUCGAAGCCCCGGUAAACGGCGGCCGUAACUAUAACGGUCCUAAGGUAGCGAAAUUCCUUGUCGGGUAAGUUCCGACCUGCACGAAUGGCGUAAUGAUGGCCAGGCUGUCUCCACCCGAGACUCAGUGAAAUUGAACUCGCUGUGAAGAUGCAGUGUACCCGCGGCAAGACGGAAAGACCCCGUGAACCUUUACUAUAGCUUGACACUGAACAUUGAGCCUUGAUGUGUAGGAUAGGUGGGAGGCUUUGAAGCGUGGACGCCAGUCUGCGUGGAGCCAACCUUGAAAUACCACCCUUUAAUGUUUGAUGUUCUAACGUUGGCCCCUUACCGGGGUUGCGGACAGUGUCUGGUGGGUAGUUUGACUGGGGCGGUCUCCUCCCAAAGCGUAACGGAGGAGCACGAAGGUUAGCUAAUCCUGGUCGGACAUCAGGAGGUUAGUGCAAUGGCAUAAGCUAGCUUGACUGCGAGCGUGACGGCGCGAGCAGGUGCGAAAGCAGGUCAUAGUGAUCCGGUGGUUCUGAAUGGAAGGGCCAUCGCUCAACGGAUAAAAGGUACUCCGGGGAUAACAGGCUGAUACCGCCCAAGAGUUCAUAUCGACGGCGGUGUUUGGCACCUCGAUGUCGGCUCAUCACAUCCUGGGGCUGAAGUAGGUCCCAAGGGUAUGGCUGUUCGCCAUUUAAAGUGGUACGCGAGCUGGGUUUAGAACGUCGUGAGACAGUUCGGUCCCUAUCUGCCGUGGGCGCUGGAGAAUUGAGGGGGGCUGCUCCUAGUACGAGAGGACCGGAGUGGACGCAUCACUGGUGUUCGGGUUGUCAUGCCAAUGGCACUGCCCGGUAGCUAAAUGCGGAAGAGAUAAGUGCUGAAAGCAUCUAAGCACGAAACUUGCCCCGAGAUGAGUUCUCCCUGAGACUUUAAGUCUCCUGAAGGAACGUUGAAGACGACGACGUUGAUAGGCCGGGUGUGUAAGCGCAGCGAUGCGUUGAGCUAACCGGUACUAAUGAACCGUGAGGCUUAACCUU
rnacentral:rRNA from 1 species